rnacentral:tRNA from 1 species
GAGGGUAUAGUUCAAGUGGUAGAGUGCAUGCUUAGCAUGUACGUGGUCCUGGGUUCAAUCCCCAGUACCUCCA